rnacentral:rRNA from 1 species
AGGACGAACGCUGGCGGCGUGCUUAACACAUGCAAGUCGAGCGGAAAGGCCCUUCGGGGUACUCGAGCGGCGAACGGGUGAGUAACACGUGAGCAAUCUGCCCUUAGCUUCGGGAUAGCCCCGGGAAACCGGGAUUAAUACCGAAUAUGACCUCGGCCGACAUCGGCCCUGGUGGAAAGUUUUUCGGCUAGGGAUGAACUCGCGGCCUAUCAGCUUGUUGGUGGGGUAAUGGCCUACCAAGGCGACGACGGGUAGCCGGCCUGAGAGGGCGACCGGCCACACUGGGACUGAGACACGGCCCAGACUCCUACGGGAGGCAGCAGUCGAGAAUUUUUCUCAAUGGGGGAAACCCUGAAGGAGCGACGCCGCGUGGAGGAUGAAGGUCUUCGGAUUGUAAACUCCUGUCAUUGGUGAACAAGAUUUUGCCGUUAACUGCGGUGGAAUUUGAUAGUAGCCGAAGAGGAAGGGACGGCUAACUCUGCGCCAGCAGCCGC